rnacentral:lncRNA from 1 species
AGUGAAAUCCCCUCCCCCUCCUUAUGUUUACAGCUCUCCUCCUCCUCCGGUGAAGUCUCCUCCACCACCGUAUUACUACCAUUCUCCACCUCCUCCGGUGAAGUCUCCUCCACCACCAUAUUAUUACCACUCACCACCCCCUCCGGUGAAAUCUCCACCACCACCAUACUAUUACCACUCACCACCCCCUCCGGUGAAAUCCCCUCCACCACCAUACUACUACCACUCACCUCCCCCUCCGGUGAAGUCCCCUCCUCCCCCAUACUACUACCAUUCACCACCCCCUCCAGUCAAGUCUCCACCACCACCAUACCAUUACAGCUCACCACCACCUCCGGUGAAAUCUCCACCACCACCAUACCUUUACAGCUCACCACCACCACCGGUAAAAUCUCCUCCACCUCCCGUUUACAUCUACGCUUCUCCCCCAC